AUAAUUCAAACAAAUUUAAAACAUCAUACUAAAUCGUAUGCAUAUGAAUGAAAUAAUAAUUAAAAAAAGGUUUUGACUAUAAAACGUGCAACGUUUUAUUAGCAUUGGACCAACAAUCGCCCGAAAUCGCAGCUGGAGUGCAUGAAAAUCGUGCCGAAGAAGAAAUCGGUGCCGGAGAUCAGGGUAUUAUGUUUGGAUAUGCCACCGAUGAAACAGAAGAAUGCAUGCCUUUAACUGUUGUUUUGGCUCACAAAUUGAAU